UACGUAGGUGACCAGCGUUGUCCGGAUUUACUGGGCGUAAAGAGCGCGCAGGCGGUCGUUCAAGUCGAGUGUGAAAGCCCCCGGCUCAACUGGGGAGGGUCAUUCGAUACUGAUCGACUUGAAGGCAGGAGAGGGAAGUGGAAUUCCCGGUGUAGUGGUGAAAUGCGCAGAUAUCAGGAGGAACACCGGUGGCGAAGGCGGGUCUCUGGGCCGUAACUGACGCUGAGGAGCGAAAGCGUGGGGAGCGAACAGG
rnacentral:rRNA from 1 species